rnacentral:misc_RNA from 1 species
AACGGUCUAUACCUGCGGUACCUGCGGAAGGAUCAUCACUGAUUCCGGGGAGUGCGCCGCCGCGUCGCGUGGUGUAUUCCGCGCGCCGUGUGCGUGCGCGCACCCCAACCAAUCUUUUGUGCACGGUUUCACGGUCAACGAGGCGCCGCGUGUGUGUUGGCGAGUGGUGGGUGGGGUGGUAUUUGCCCGGCCCGGCGUCCCCCAGGGGGCGCGCUUGCCAGCCGCAUGCGCGUGCGUUCU